rnacentral:rRNA from 1 species
AUUGAACGCUGGCGGCAUGCCUUACACAUGCAAGUCGAACGGCAGCGGACCUUCGGGUGCCGGCGAGUGGCGAACGGGUGAGUAAUAUAUCGGAACGUACCUUUCAGUGGGGGAUAACGUAGCGAAAGUUACGCUAAUACCGCAUAUUCUGUGAGCAGGAAAGCAGGGGAUCGCAAGGCCUUGCGCUGAUUGAGCGGCCGAUAUCAGAUUAGCUAGUUGGUGAGGUAAAGGCUCACCAAGGCGACGAUCUGUAGCGGGUCUGAGAGGAUGAUCCGCCACACUGGAACUGAGACACGGUCCAGACUCCUACGGGAGGCAGCAGUGGGGAAUUUUGGACAAUGGGCGCAAGCCUGAUCCAGCCAUGCCGCGUGAGUGAAGAAGGCCUCGGUUGGUAAG